rnacentral:RNase_P_RNA from 1 species
GGUCGGCCGGGGGUGGUCGCUUUGGGAGGUCGCGAGAUCAUCCGAAGAGGAAAGUCCGGACACCACAGGGCAGCAUGUCGCGUGAAAACGCGAGGGCUGAAGUCGCAAGCCUUCGGUCACGGAAAGUGUCACAGAAAACAUACCACCAGCGUGAGCAAUCAUGCUGGCCAGGGUGAAAAGGCGAGGUAAGAGCUCACCGCUCCAACUGUAAAGAAGGAGGCAGGACAAACCCCACGCGGUGCAAGACAUAACAGAGGAAACGGCCCGCCCUGGCCGCAACUCCGCGCAAGCGGAGGGAUGACCUCGGGUAUUAGUCGCAUCCUGCCUCGGCAGGAGAGCCGGUCGCAAGGCCGGUCACAGAGAAAUGACUGCCAUCUGGCAACAGAGACAGAAUCCGGCUUACACCGGUCGACCCCGU